rnacentral:ncRNA from 1 species
AAGCGUUGAAGCAUAAUAGCGUACCGGGAUGCCUUGUUAUGCAGAGCUUUUCAGUAGGGGUUGUGCAGUAACCUCAAACCGGAGUAGGCUGCAAAGCCGAAAGAAAAUGCUCAAA